ACUCUGUCGUGCCCCCUUUCCUCCUUUGGCUUGUCUAGGCCACCUCACCCCCUCCUUUUAUCUAUCUCAUCUCUCCUUGUGCUCACCUUCUCUUCUGUUCCACUGCUUUGCCCCCUCUUUCUCUCAGCCACUAAAGCCUCCCCUUCUCGGUGGCCCAUCGACGGAUCCAGUCACUAGAUCCGAUCAUCCUGAUUCAGCCCUGUCAAUAACCUGAAGGUGGCUUGACAGGUAUAGGUGAUGGGAGCAAGGCAACCGCGGUAUGCCAGCUCCCUUCCCAUCCCUUCGUGUAGAUGCGGCAAGUCACGGCCAACUUCGAGAAAAUUGCAUAUCUACCACUCUAAACGAGUGGAUUCGCUGAAAUACCAUUAAUAAAAUGGACUUCGUCCAAAUACCAUCCAAACGUCAGUACAAUUUGCUAUUUUGCCAUUUUAGCUUUGAACCGUUAUUAUCUCUAU
rnacentral:lncRNA from 1 species